GAGACACCCUUAUGGGGCAGGACUUGCUUCAGUGGGGCUUUGGUGCUCACUGAGUCUGCCCUUUGAGUGUGUCCCU
rfam:Myotis lucifugus cont2.3387, whole genome shotgun sequence.